AAAACCGACUAAUCGCUUGCCUUCCUUCUACAGCUUUUGGACGAAGGAAAUCUCGUAUUUAGCUAUUGCUCUCUAGUUGCAGAGUUUUACAGAAUUUUAAACUGAUUCCAGUUUUAACGUUCAAACAACCUAAAGAGCUUAACAUGUUUCGGGACGAUGGAUGCAGCCAGUCACCAGUAUGGGACCUUCCAAAAAUUUAUUUUAUUGCUCACAGCUUGCAACUGGGAAUGUAUAAGGAGUUACCGUAUAUUUUGUAAGCGGAGUUGGACGACUGGUAUCCAAACACAGUUUCAGUGAACUGAAAAGCCAAUAUUCAUUCCUAUGUUCCCAAACUCCAUAGUUCGCCGGGUUUGCGAAUACAGUAACACAAUUACUUUUGGAAAUCCUUCUCGAAUUACCGUCGCCAGGGUGAGCAGAUUAUUUGCACAGAAAAGACGGUAUCCCAUAUAUUUGGCACACUACCGAUUACGGAAAUGGAAGAUGUGAAAAGCACUACCACGGAAUGGCGGAUAGCAGAUGAUGGGAAAUUCAGGACCUUCGGUGACAAUUACGACUUCCACCAUGAUAGGUAGCUGUCAAGGCUAUGCAGAUAGACUGCAAAUCGGAGAAACACAGGGCUUCCUGGUUGCAUAAAAUGGAAACCAUCAUUAAACUACGGCACGACCACCUAGUAGCUAUUCACAACGUGAGGGUAAAGGACUGCCCAGAUGGAGGACUGCAUGUUGAAGUGCUAAUGGAUUAUUACCCGAAUGGAAACCUGUCCACGUUUUUAAAGCAGCUAAAAGCCCAACAAGAAUUUCUCCUCUAUGGGGAAAUAAUUCGGUAUGCAGUGGAUAUUACAAGUGGGCUGGUGUUUCUACAUCAGAAGAACAUUAUCCAUGGAGACCUGAAACCAGGCAAUAUUCUCGUCAAGCAUUUGGGAGCAAGGGAAAUAAGACUGCUGAGACUGGUUAUCUGUGACUGCGACAAUCCAAUACAGAUGCAGCAGAACACCACGGUGUCCAGCGAUAUAUCUGUAACCCAUUUGCUUGGCACACUUCGCUAUAUGUCACCGGAAAUGCUGAAGAAAUUUGUAAAGUUCCUGGGAGAGCGGACGACCUUUCCGCCACCUGGGCGUAAGACAGAUAUACUGUAUGGAGCCUUGGCUGUAUUAUGUUGAAUCUAGCUUCGUUUUACACGGAUCGUUUUGAGAAGGGAUUGUGUCAUCAAGAUCCGAGCAAGCUAGUAAUCACCGUUGCAGACGACCUUACCGAUUACCAGUAUGUCGAGCUGAUUUUGGACGGUUACGCUCCAGUAGUUGGUGCGUCAGUUCCGCCGCAUCUUGCAGCAUGCAUUCGGGACUGCUUAGACACCGACGCAGGCAACAGGAAAUCGGCUCAGCAGCUACUUGUGGGACUGCUGUCUGCUGGUGAAUUGAGUGCCGGUGAAACGAUGAGAAGAAAGGAACCGCUUCAGGAGGGUUGGUGGGUAAUUUUUCACUGGGUUCAAGAUCUCAAUUACUGGGGAAGUCAUUAUGCAUCAGUCUGCAUUGAAGUGUUUGAUACUUCCACCCACAACAUGCAACAGCUGCCGAGUGCUUGGAAACCUAAAUUAGAAAAAAUCCGUCAUGUUACGGUACAAAAGAAUGCAGGAUUUCUCUUUAAUUGGGCCCCAUUUUCAUCGCAAAAAUGCGCGUUGUAUGUAUGGAGCGUAGUGCGCCAGUCUGGCGACCAUAAGAUCGCUUCCUUCA